ACGGAAGGCAGCAGUGAGGAAUAUUGGUCAAUGGGCGGAAGCCUGAACCAGCCAAGCCGCGUGAAGGAAGACGGUAUUAUGUAUUGUAAACUUCUUUAGGCGCAGAGAAAUAAGCUCCACGCGUGGAGUGAUGCUAGUAUGCGCAGAAUAAGGAUCGGCUAACUCCGUGCCAGCAGCCGCGGUAAUACGGAGGAUCCGAGCGUUAUCCGGAUUUAUUGGGUUUAAAGGGUGCGCAGGCGGUUUGUUAAGUCAGCGGUUAAAUAGUGGAGCUCAACUCCAUCCCGCCGUUGAUACUGGCAGACUUGAUUGCGGUCGAGGUUGGCGGAAUUCGCCGUGUAGCGGUGAAAUGCAUAGAUAUGGCGAAGAACUCCGAUUGCGUAGGCAGCUGACCAGGCCGUAAAUGACGCUCAUGCACGAAAGUGCGGGGAUCGAACAGGAUUAGAUACCCUGGUA
rnacentral:rRNA from 1 species